AUGGAUGAUGUGUGGUGCAGCCUCGACAUGGCCGCCGACAUCGCCGGCCUCCACAGCGCCCUCGCCGACCCAUUCUGGCCCGCCGACCUUGACCUCAUGGUUUCGACCCACGAGGUGGAGGGUAUGGCGGACAUGGACGCGAGCGGCUUCUUCGUAGGAGGAGGGGAUGACCGCUUCAUGCUGCCGUCGUCGACGACGUCGUCACUCUCGUCGAAGCGAUCACUCUCCCUCGACAGCGGCGGCUCCUCAGGCUCGGGGUCUUUCUCGCUCGACCUCGCGGACGCCUCGCGGUACCAGGCGCCGGCGCUGCCGGUGCCGCACAACCCCUUGGCGGGCGCCGUCGACCACGACGACGAGGCGAUCAUGCGGGCUAUGAUGGCGGUCAUGUCUUCGUCCUCUGCCUCCCCGUCCUCCUCGGCAUCCUCCCAUCCGCAGCCCUUCCGCCGGGAACGGGACAGCAACAUGCAACAACAGUCAGCAGCCAUGGCGCCGCAGCUGCGUGGAGGACGAAGUGGCCACGUGAUGGUGAAGAGCAGCCUCUCCAUGUCGCCGGAGAGAAGCAGCAGCGGCGGCCGGGGACAGCAGCAGGAGGAUCCGACGAGGGCCGCGAGCGGCAACACCGGCCAGCUCUACCACAUGAUGUCAGAGAGGAAGCGACGGGAGAAGCUCAACGACAGCUUCCACACGCUGAGGUCGCUCCUUCCCCCCUGCUCAAAGAAGGACAAGACAACGGUGCUGACCAAGGCGGCGGGGUACCUAAAGACGUUGGAGGCGCAGGUCUCUGAGCUGGAGGAGAAGAACAAUAAGCUGGAGAAGCACAUCCCGACCUACGACUGCGAGGAGGACGUGCCGCACCAGCAGAGGCGGCAGAGGGCCAAGGUCCAGAUCACCAAGGCGGCGUCGGACGAGGUGGUGAACCUGACGGUGAUGGUGAUGGUGGAGUGUGACGUGGUGGAGCUGGUGCUCCGCAUCCUGGAGUGCCUCCGGUGGAUGGAGCAGGUCAGCGUCAUGUCCGUCGACGCCGACACCUACUCCCCGCAGGUGUUGCUCAAGGCCAUAGCCAGCAUCAAGCUCCGGAUCGUGGAUAACGACUGGAACCAGGCCUUGUUCCACGAGGCCAUGACCAAGGCUGUUAACGAUGCAACCGCGUCUCGUCCUCCGCUCGUGCUCACCGCGUAA
rnacentral:rRNA from 1 species